rnacentral:rRNA from 1 species
UACGUAGGGUGCAAGCGUUAAUCGGAAUUACUGGGCGUAAAGCGCGCGUAGGUGGCUUCGUAAGUCCGUUGUGAAAGUCAAAGGCUCAACCUUUGAAUGCCGAUGGAUACUGCGAAGCUAGAGUACGGAAGAGGCGAGUGGAAUUCCUGGUGUAGCGGUGGAAUGCGCAGAUAUCAGGAGGAACACCAAUAGCGAAGGCAGCUCGCUGGGACGUUACUGACACUAAGGCGCGAAAGCGUGGGGAGCGAACAGG